ensembl:snoRNA
GGUUCAUUUCUCAAUUGUUUAUUUUAAAGUCACAAAUUUACUGUGGACAUGACCAUAAAAAACCACUCCCACUAGGUUCUUCUGUGUGCUACUUUGCUAGCAAUCAACCUGCUGGGAACAUUU